CGGGGUGGAGAGAGUGAGGCGGAAGAGGAGGAGGUGCCGUCCCACAAUACCAGGCGGGAGGGCGGUCGGCGGUUUGUAUCGGGGCUGUGAGGUGCUCGGCUCCUCGGCGGACCUUGCUGCCUCUGUCCCUUUAACGCGAGAGGAAGCGAUGCAGAGGGGUGGAAAAUGGCAGAGCUGCAGAUGUUACUAGAGGAGGAGAUCCCGUCUGGCAAGAGGGCGCUGAUAGAGAGUUACCAGAAUCUGACCCGGGUGGCGGACUACUGUGAGAACAACUACAUCCAGACUGUCCCAAAACCAAACUUAAGAGCGCUAAUGAAUGCUUCUGAGCAAUUCAAGAAUGUGGGAACAAAAUGUGGCCUUAUAACACUAGGAGGUAGAACUUUAUCUGAGCAUGAUAAUUCUGAUUAUGAAGAUGAAAAUAUAGUUGGACUUCUUUACAAACUACCAUUCAAAGCCAAUGACUUUUCUUGUCCUGCUUUUUCAAAACCUUCUGUCAAGUCGUUAGCAGGCCAUGGUGUUACAAAGGAAGGAGAGGUGCAGCCGGCAACUGGAAAAAAGGACAAUGGUAUUAAUAUUACUGAAAUUGCUCCACAAGAGCAAACAGUUAAUGACCAUCUGACUUCUGCUGAUAGAGCAUACAAAAAAGUAAUAGUAGUGUUACGAUGUCAGCGUUGGGAUUAGGAGAAGAGGAAGAUGGAGAAUCACCUUGGAAUUCUGAGUUGCAAGAAGCACAAGAUCGACAUGCAGAGGCUGUAAGAUGUAUUGAGACGUGGAAAGAUCACAUGCAAAAGCUUGAAGUUGAAAAUGCCAAGUUAAAAGGUACAGUCAAAAAACAAGCGCGCAAAAUUGAACAACUUCAGGAAAACCUGUUAAGUACAAGUUUGAUGCUGCUGAAUUUGAAUUAGACUCAUGGCAUAUGACCUCCUCUUUAGAAUGUACUUACGAAUCACAUGUAAAUGACGAUCUACUAGCGAAAUCGUCAAAAGAAUUUUUACAGACUUUGAAGAAAAAUUAUAUGUUCUGAAAGAUAAACAGUAAAAUUUAUUUACUGGAUGUUUGUAUAACAUUUUAAUUGUCCUACUAAACGUAUUGUGUGAAAAUCUUGAAUAAAGGAAAAUACUUCUGGA